rnacentral:rRNA from 1 species
GAUGAACGCUGGCGGCGUGCCUAAUACAUGCAAGUCGAGCGAACAGACGCGGAGCUUGCUCCUCUGACGUUUGCGGCGGACGGGUGAAUAACACGUGGAUACUCUACCUAUCUGUCUGGUAUCACUUCGGGACACCUGCGCUUAUACCGGAUUAUCUAUUGAACCGCAUGGUUCAAUAGUGAAAGACGGUUUUGCUGUCACUUAUAGAUGCGUCCGCGCCGCAUUUGCUAGUUGGUAAGGUAACGGCUUACCAAGGCAACGAUGCGUAGCCGACCUGAGAGGGUGAUCGGCCACACUGGAACUGAGACACGGUCCAGACUCCUACGGGAGGCGGCAGUAGGGAAUCAUCCGCAAUGGGCGAAAGCUUGACGGAGCAACGCCGCGUGAGUGAUGAAGGUCUUCGGAUCGUAAAACUCUGUUAUUAGGGAAGAACAAAUGUGUAAGUAACUAUGCACGUCUUGACGGUACCUAAUCAGAAAGCCACGGCUAACUACGUG